UGGAUGUAGUGUAGUAUAGUGUAGUGUAGUAUAGUGUAAUAUAGUGGAGUGGAAUGUAGUGUAGUAUAGUGUAGUAUAGUUGAGUGGAAUGUAGUGUAGUAUAGUGUAGUAUAGUGUAGUGUAGUAUAGUGUAAUAUAGUGGAGUGGAAUGUAGUGUAGUAUAGUGUAGUGUAGUAUAGUGUAAUAUAGUGGAGUGGAAUGUAGUGUAGUAUAGUGUAUAUCAGUGUAAUAUAGUGGAGUGUAAUGUAGUAUAGUGUAGUGUAGUAUAGUGUAAUAUAGUGGAGUGGAAUGUAGUAUAGUGUAGUGUAGUAUAGUGUAAUAUAGUGGAGUGGAAUGUAAUGUAUAGUGUAGUGUAGUAUAGUGUAAUAUAGUGGAGUGUAGUGUAGUAUAGUGCAAUAUAGUGGAGUGUAAUGUAGUAUAGUGUAGUGUAGUCUAGUGUAAUAUAGUUGAGUGGAAUGUAGUAUAGUUGUAUGUAGUAUAGUGUAGUGUAGUAUAGUGUAGUAUAGUGUAAUAUAGUGGAGUGUAAUGUAGUAUAGUGUAAUAUAGUGGAGUGGAAUGUAGUGUAGUAUAGUGUAGUAUAGUGUAAUAUAGUGGAGUGUAAUGUAGUAUAGUGUAGUGUAGUAUAGUGUA
ensembl:lncRNA